GAGAAACUCCUUGCAGUAAGAAGCUCAGAGAAGUCUCAUCUAGUGGACACAGGAGUACGUGUCGGAAACAGGACCUUCCAAAUGAACAACUUGACUCAAACCUAUCGUCCUGAUGUGUGGCACUGAAAAGUCUAAAAAGUUCCUGCUGUAACUCGCCUUUGAGAAAGAUUGGCAUGACAAAUAAGGUUGUGAUCAGAAUGUAUGCAAAAAGAUGGGUUUGUCCAGGCACGGAACAGGGUUUUGGUUUAGUGGAGCCCUCGGAGCUGGUGGUGGUCAGCAUGUGCUGUCUAGGUUCUUCUGGGGCUCCCACCUCAUGUCUCCCUACCUCUGAGUACACUUGAGAAUCUACUUCUGCCAGAUGGAAAGACAGAACUGACUCAGUUUAUAAUAAAGCUAAUCUCUCAGGACACAGCA